GACGAACGCUGGCGGCGUGCCUAAUACAUGCAAGUAGAACGCUGAAGGAGGAGCUUGCUUCUCUGGAUGAGUUGCGAACUGGUGAGUAACGCGUAGGUAACCUGCCUGGUAGCGGGGGAUAACUAUUGGAAACGAUAGCUAAUACCGCAUAAUAGUAGAUGUUGCAUGACAUUUGCUUAAAAGGUGCAAUUGCAUCACUACCAGAUGGACCUGCGUUGUAUUAGCUAGUUGGUGGGGUAACGGCUCACCAAGGCGACGAUACAUAGCCGACCUGAGAGGGGUGACCGCCCACUCGGGGAAUGGACACGGGCCAACGCCCCAAAGGGGGGCAGCAGAGGGAAAUUUUGGGCAAGGAACGGAAGUCUGACCGGAAAACGCCGGGUGAGUAAAGAGGGUUUUGGGAUCAGAAAGCUUUUUUUUAAGGGAAAAAGGGGUGUGAGGGGGGAAAGUUCACACUGUGGCGGUAUUUUACGAAGAAGGGACGGCUGACUGCGU
rnacentral:rRNA from 1 species